CACGGCACAAUAGCACAGUUGACGAAUAUCCAAUCGAUUUUUUCCACACCUAUCAGCAGCAGCCGGCAACAAGCCAGCGCGAGGCUCCGAUGCUACGGCCGCCGUCGGCGCCAGCGCCACUACGCCCUUCCACUCCCCGCGCCUCCCCGCUUCCGCCCCCCAGAGCGGCAAACCCUAACACCGACUCCACAACCACCAGCGCCGCCGCCGCGGGCAAAGCGGCCAACAUGGGCGCGGCGGCGUGGUGGCGGCGCGCGCUCGGGCAGCGGUUCAACCCGGCCGGCGUGGCCGCGGUGGCGUCCGUCGCGGCGUCCGAGCCGCGCCUGGCGCUGCCGCACGUGUCGGUGCAGGACAUCCGGUGGCUCGACUGGGCCGAGCUCCGCCGCGCCGGCUUCUGCGGCGUCGUCUUCGACAAGGACAACACGCUCACGGCCCCCUACGCGCCUGCGCUCUGGCCGCCGCUCGCCGCCGCGUUCGACCAGUGCCGCGCGGCGUUCCCGCCCGGCGCCCUCGCCAUCUACAGCAACUCCGCAGGGUUGAAGGAGUACGAUCCAGAUGGUGUAGAUGCGAGGGCAAUCGAGGCGGCCAUCGAGGGUGUUCAUGUGAUCAGCCAUGAUACAAAGAAACCUGGUGGAGCAGCUAAGGAAAUAGAGACUUACUUUGGUUGUUCAGCCUCAAAUCUUGUGAUGGUUGGUGACCGAUACUUCACUGACGUGGUCUACGGGAACAGGAAUGGCUUUCUUACAGUGUUUACAGAACCAUUAAAUGUUUCUGAUGAAUCUUUCAUUGUCAAAAGGGUUAGGAAACUGGAGGCAUACCUCAUCAGUUAUUGGUACAAGAAAGGGCACAAACCCAUUAAGCAUCCUUUGCUCCCAGAUGCAAGAAGCAUUGUGAAAUUUGACCCGUAUGAUGACUAAGUUACAACCGGAGCAUGGCAUGAUGAUCUAUGCUGCUCCUGCUGAUACUAGAAAUUCAUUGGUUUCUCUCCUCCAGAUCAGCAAGUGUAGAGAGAUGGUGUUUGUUGCCGAGAAGAUUACAAGGGAGAAUAUAUGCAGUUUCUCUGGUGUUUACAGAGAUGACUUUGGCUUGGAGGAUGAAGAUUUCUGUCCAUAUGAAUACACACCUAGUCCACGCUUCUUCCCAAGACGACCAGCAUCAACAUACUGAACGAGAAGAGGGCAAGGGCUGUAC